GAUGGAACAAUGUAGGCAAGGGAAGUCGGCAAAAUGGAUCCGUAACCUCGUGAAAAGGAUUAGCUCUAAGGGCUGAGCACGAGGUUCCCAGUUCUGAACCUAUCGGCUGUUGGUGGACUGCUUGAGCUGCUCCCACGGCGAGAGCGGGUCACCGCAUGCCGAUCAUGGGACAGAUUGGGAAGGGGCCCUUCGGAGCCUCUUCCCCGGGCAUCGAACAAUCAACUCAGAACUGGUACGGACAAGGGGUAUCUGACUGUUUAAUUAAAAUAAAGCAUUGUGAUGGUCCCUACGGAUGUUGACGCAAUGUGAUUUCUGCCCGAUGCUCUGAAUGUCAAAGUGAAGAAAUUCAACCAAGCGCGGGUAAACGAUGGGAGUAACUAUGACUCUCUUAAGGUAGCCAAAUGCCUCGUCAUCUAAUUAGUGACGCGCAUGAAUGGACUAAUGAGAUUCCCAAUGUCCCUGUCUACUAUCUAGCGAAACCACAACCAAGGGAAUGGGCUUAGCGGAAUCAGCCGGGAAAGAAGACCAUGUUGAGCUUGACUCUAGUCCGACUUUGUGAAAUGACUUGAGAGGUGUAGGAUAAGUGGGAGCUGGAAAUAGCGAAAGUGAAAUACCACUACUUUUAACGUUAUUUUACUUAUUCCGUGAAUCGGAGGCGGGGCGCUGCCCUUCUUUUUGGAUCCAAGGCUGACUUCGGUUGGCCAAUCCGGGCGGAAGACAUUGUUAGGUGGGGAGUUUGGUUGGGGCAGCACAUCUGUUAAAAGAUAAAGCAGGUGUCUGAAGAUGAGCUCAACGAGAACAGAAAUUUCGUGUGGAACAAAAGGGUAAAAGCUCGUUUGAUUUUGAUUUCUAGUACGAAUACGAAUCGUGAAAGCGUGGCCUAUCGAUCCUUUAGUCCUUCGGAAUUUGAAGCUAGAGGUGUCAGAAAAGUUACCACAAGGAUAACUGGCUUGUGGCAGCCAAGCGUUCAUAGCGACGUUGCUUUUUUAUCCUUCGAUGUCGGCUCUUCCUAUCAUUGUGAAGCAGAAUUCACAAAGUUUUGGAUUGUUCACCCAUCAAUAGGGAACCUGAGUUGGGUUUAGACUGUCGUGACAUAGGUUAGUUUUACCCUACUGAUGAGAGUGUCACAAUAGUAAUUCAACCUAGUAUGAGAGGAACCGUUGAUUCGCACAAUUGGUCAUUGUGGUUGGUUGAAAAGCCAGUGGCGCAAAACUAUCGUGCGUUGGAUUAUGAUUGAACGCCUCUAAGUCAGAAUUCGGGCUAGAAGCGAUGCGUGUUCCCGUCGUUCGCUUGCCGACCAGCAAUAGGGGGCCUCGGCCCCCCAGAGGCACGUGUCGUUGGUGGACCUCGUAAGGCGGAUGAGCCUUACGGGAUACCUUGAAACGCAAUUCCUCUUGAGUGGCUGGUAGAAUCUUUUGCAGUCGACUUAAAUAAGCGACAAGUUAUUGUAAGUGGUAGAGGGGCCUUGCUGCCACGAUCCACUAAGAUUCAGCCCUAGUCGCUUCGAUUC
rnacentral:ncRNA from 1 species